rnacentral:rRNA from 1 species
AUUGAACGCUGGCGGCAGGCUUAACACAUGCAAGUCGAGCGGAGAUGAGGUGCUUGCACCUUAUCUUAGCGGCGGACGGGUGAGUAAUGCUUAGGAAUCUGCCUAUUAGUGGGGGACAACACUCCGAAAGGAAUGCUAAUACCGCAUACGUCCUACGGGAGAAAGCAGGGGAUCUUCGGACCUUGCGCUAAUAGAUGAGCCUAAGUCGGAUUAGCUAGUUGGUGGGGUAAAGGCCUACUAAGGCGACGAUCUGUAGCGGGUCUGAGAGGAUGAUCCGCCACACUGGGACUGAGACACGGCCCAGACUCCUACGGGAGGCAGCAGUGGGGAAUAUUGGACAAUGGGGGGAACCCUGAUCCAGCCAUGCCGCGUGUGUGAAGAAGGCCUUAUGGUUGUAAAGCACUUUAAGCGAGGAGGAGGCUACUGAGACUAAUACUCUUGGAUAGUGGACGUUACUCGCAGAAUAAGCACCGGCUAACUCUGUGCCAGCCGCCGCAGUAAUAC